rnacentral:rRNA from 1 species
CCUACGGGAGGCUGCAGUGGGGGAUAUUGCACAAUGGGGGAAACCCUGAUGCAGCGACGCCGCGUGGGCGAAGAAGUAUUUCGGUAUGUAAAGCCCUAUCAGCAGGGAAGAAGAAAUGACGGUACCUGAGUAAGAAGCACCGGCUAAAUACGUGCCAGCAGCCGCGGUAAUACGUAGGGGGCAAGCGUUAUCCGGAUUUACUGGGUGUAAAGGGAGCGUAGACGGCAGUGGAAGUCUGGAGUGAAAGGCGGGGGCUCAACCCCCGGACUGCUCUGGAAACUGUACGGCUGGAGUGCAGGAGAGGUAAGUGGAAUUCCUAGUGUAGCGGUGAAAUGCGUAGAUAUUAGGAGGAACACCAGUGGCGAAGGCGGCUUACUGGACUGUAACUGACGCUGAGGCUCGAAAGCGUGGGGAGCAAACAGGAUUAGAUACCCUAGUAGUC